UCCUUAAUGUUGAAAGGCAAUUUGGCCUUCAACGCUCGGAGUAUAUCACGCGUUGCGACUGAACCAGGCAGCAGCAGACAACACGAAGAAACAAUUAAUUAAUAUUGUUGCCGAGAAACUGGAAAAAUGUAGGCCAGUAGGUAUUCAGCCUUCACAAUCUGUUGAGCCAAACAAUUUGGCAACUGAGUCCUUCUCUGUGUGGGGCAUAUUCGAUAAGUUAGUGAAACAUGCACAGCCACAGGGCACAGUACAGUCAUGUGCUAUUGUAGAGGUUCAAAGGUACAUUGACAGCUCAGUCAUCAGUAGAAAUGAGGAUCCUCUGGCAUGGUGAAGACAAAACCAAUACAUAUACCCAACCAUUGCAAAAGUAGUGAAAGAGAGGUUUAAUGUUGUAGCAACUUCUGUGCCUUGUGAGAGGGUCUUCUCAAAAACUGGACAUUUAAUAAAUGACAGAAGAACCCGCCUCAAGCCAUCGAAUAUAGAAAAACUAAUAUUUCUGAAUGCCAAUGGUACCUGUGAUUAGUGCUGAAAAUUCUGGACCCGUGUGAGGUUUGCUUCCAUGGAGGUAACUAGGCACUUUCAACACAAGCGAACAAGACCACACAACUGUAUGAUGCCUAUCAAUAUUACAACAUGUAACUGGGCACUUUCAACACAAGUGAACAAGACCACACAACUGUAUGAUGCCUAGCAAAAUGUAAAAUGUAACUGGGCACUUUCAACACAAGCAAGCAAGACCACACAACUGUAUGAUGCCUAGCAAAAUGUAAAAUAUGUAACUGGGCACUUUCAACACAAGCAAGCAAGACCACACAACUGUAUGAUGCCUAGCAAAAUGUAAAAUAUGUAACUGGGCACUUUCAACACAAGCAAACAAGACCACACAACUGUAUGAUGAUUAGCAAAAUGUAAAAUAUACACCUUUCACUUACUGCAAGUAUUUCACUUUGGCAUAAAUGUGAGUUACAUCUCUAGCAUCAAAAGAUUGGUAACACAGACCACUGAUAUCACUUCCAAGACUGUGUUUUCUUUGUCAUAUUAGUUUCUGUUUGUUGAAAAACACAGAUUUAGUUUUGUUGAUAUAUGCACGAAAGGUGACAGAGGAACAGGUCAUACUGGGAGCAGUAGGUCUGUGACUUGGAUGCAGCACAGUUACUGAUUUGAUGCCAUUAAGGCACAAAGCUUUGUAAUGAUUAAAAUGGUGAGUGAAUGUAAAUCCUGGAAGUGUUAUUUCUUUAUACUAAAACCUGCUACUUUAAGUUAUGUUUCAGAAAUUUCUUGAGCACCUCGACUUGAAAAAUAACAGGAAUACCAUCUAGAAUAUUACAAGUGAGGACAGUCAGUCAAUGAUAAUCCAAUGAUAAUCCAUGAGCUUAGGCUGAAGGAAAAAAAUUCUAUAUAUGUAAUAAAACUUGAUUGUAAUGUGUGAUGUUGUAGACAUACAAUAAUCUGUUUUGUGCUAUCUUUUCCAUAAUGAAUUUGGUGACAACAUGUGGAUCAAAACUGGAAUGAGCAAAGAAUACCAACCAAAUUUAAGACCCAAAAACCAGAAAGAGCCACCACCAGCGGUGGAACACACGCAAGUUUGAAAAAUUUGUUCCAAAUGCACAAUAAUAGUGAUUUUUUUUUCUUUUUGUUGUUGUUGAUUGUAGAUGUACAUAUAUGUUCCUGUCUCCUGCUAAAAAUGAACCAUCCCAACUAGCAAAUUUUACUUUGUUAUUUAGAACUUUUUUAAUUGCAUUAAUUAAGAGCCACCUGCACUUUGAGAGGACUAAAACUGUUGAGAUUUUAUUAUUCAUUCAAUAACAAGAUUAAUAUGUGGGGUAUGUGAAAUGUGUGUACAUGUUUGUUUUGCUCAUACUUGUACAAAUGUUUCAUGUAACCUGACGAGGCGAACCCAAGAUUCAAGAAGAAGAAGAAGAGGAGGAGGAGGAGGAGGAGGAGGAGGAAGAAGAAGAAGAGGAGGAGGAGGAGGAGGAGGAGGAAGAAGAAGAGGAUCCCUCAAGACUGCAACAUAAAAUAUUUAAUAUGUAGCACAACAACUGUACACAGUUGAUAACGUCCUUCUGGGGUUUUGAGGAGCUGGUUUUCCUUCAGACCGUGGGCAAAUGCCAGGACGUACAAGUUUCCAGCUCAGCUCAGAAAAUGCUCAUUUUCAUGAAUUUGUCAGUAAAAUGCUGUAGAUAAAUACCAACAGAAAAAUGCUUCCUGUAACACAGAUCUUUUAGUAAAAAAUGUGUCCUAAUAAGACAAGUUGUAACUUUUUUAAAUAUUUGCAGUCUGUGUAACUUGAAAAACUGAAUUAUGUAGAAGAAACAGCUUGUCUACAUAACAAUGUAACUGUAUUUACACCAGCAUUAUAUAAUUUAAUAUUUACUGACAAUGCCAUAUGUAAAACCAUAGAUAAAUAA